UACAGAGACUGCAAGCGUUACUCGGAUUCACUGGGCGUAAAGGGAGCGCAGGCGGGCGGGUGUGUCAGGCGUGAAAUCCCGGGGCUUAACCCCGGGGCUGCGCUUGAAACUACCUGUCUAGAGAUUCGGAGGGGUAAGCGGAAUUCCUGGUGGAGCAGUGAAAUGCGUAGAUAUCAGGAGGAACACCAACGGCGAAGGCAGCUUACUGGACGAAAUCUGACGCUCAGGCUCGAAAGCAUGGGGAGCAAAAGGGAUUAGAUACCCCUGUAGUCCAUGCUGUAAACGGUGCGCAUUCGGUCUUGGCGCUUUCGAACGCGUCAGGGCUUAAGCUAACGCAUUAAAUGCGCCGCCUGAGGACUACGGCCGCAAGGCUAAA
rnacentral:rRNA from 1 species